UACGUAGGGUGCAAGCGUUGUCCGGAAUUAUUGGGCGUAAAGGGCUCGUAGGCGGUCCAUCGCGUCGGGAGUGAAAAGCUGGGGCUCAACCCCAGUCCUGCUUCCGAUACGGGUGGACUAGAGGUAUGCAGGGGAGAACGGAAUUCCUGGUGUAGCGGUGAAAUGACGCAGAGUAUCAGGAGGAACACCGGUGGCGAAGGCAGCUUCCUGGACCGACACUGACGCUGAUGCGCGAAAGCGUGGGUAGCAAACAGG
rnacentral:rRNA from 1 species